rnacentral:tRNA from 1 species
GGGGAUGUAGCUCAGAGAUAGAGCGCGUGCUUGGCGUGCACAAGGUCCUGGGUUCAAUCCCUGGUAAUUCCA